rnacentral:lncRNA from 1 species
AAACUAUCAAUUUACUGAAAUUUAAUUAGGCUACCGAAAUUUCAUGUAACUUUUCUAAAAUAUCCGCUUUUUUAAAUUGACUUUUAUUUUGCCUAAAUCAUCUCCUCAUGAUGCUGCAUUGAUGGCAACCUGUGGUAAAAUCACCUGCACCCUCAGCUGAUCACAUCAUUUUUGAUUAAUUUCCAAGAUUCAGGGUUCGUCCACGUUUGGAUGCUACAUUGAUGGCCACCUGUAAAAUUACCUACACCCUCAGCUGAUCAGAUCAUUUGAUUCCAUAGCUUUUCAAGAUGGCGGCUACCUUCACUGAACAAACUUCCACGAUUCAUCCCCAACUGGCUAGGUGGACACUGGCGAGUGCUGGGAUCAGUCGCCGUCGCCCCGUGUCUGUUCCUGCAGACACACUCCUCGGCUCUCACAAAGACCACAAUGAUCACGGGCCGUCCUGCCCGGCCGGGCCAGACAAUAGGCAGGGCCCGGGGCCAUAUGCUGGGCCUCUUGACGCAGGUUGGUCUGCAGGACUGUCUGUGGGAAAAGGGGGUCCUUGGGCUGAGCCAGACAAGGAAGGUCGCAAGGGUCUACCGAAAGCAGACUGUAGAUAAAUGCCGUUGUCCUGCUUCUUUAACAGAGCUUUACAGAGCUUUUCACUCUCAAAACUGCUUUCAAAACCACCCACAAAAGAGGCAGAAGCUCGGAAAACCAUAGUGAGAAAAC